UGGGAAGUAGAUCAAUGGUAGAUCACUUGUUUUUGGUACAAAAGGUUGUAGGUUCGAGUCCUACCUUCCCAGCCA
rnacentral:tRNA from 1 species